rnacentral:lncRNA from 1 species
UUGCCUAUUUCCAAAGGAACUUCCUUGGAUCAUUUCUAUGAUCUUGAGAAAGCAACUCAUGUUUGUGGCUUUGUCCCUUAACCUUGAUCCAUACUUUUUCACCUUAACCCAAAACCAGAAAACUUUUGUGCAAACAUUUUCACUUGUUUUCAAAACUAGAAACUCAGGCCUUAUGCCUUUGAUUUUCAAGCUCUCUUUUCCCUAAUACUCAUUGUAAUUGAACUCUAAUUCAUACUUUGACUUCAUUUUUG